AUGGAAACUUACACCAGACAUCAAAGUGCAUUUGUGUUAAUUUUGUCUUUUAGAAUUUCAGCUCAUUUUUCCAGAGAACACAAUUACCCUGCAAAGUGUACUGCACUUAAGCUGAGAAGUACCUCCGAAGUAAAAUAACUUAGCUGAACCCAACUAACAGGCUAUUUUGUAUGCAAGAGUCCUGGUCCUUUCCCAGGAUUGCCUUGCAGGCUGUGCCCCGUGGACCACCCUUCACCACCAGUCAUGGGCUAUAGGCCACAUCCCCCUCCUCCACCUACUCUAUUUGUUAAGAUGACCUGAACUGGCUGAGUGGCUGGACAACUCUUUUGAAAUUGAAGAGGACUGUGCACGGUGACAGACAAUCGUGUUUGCAUAUACAUUGUAAGAAGGUGUCAGAUCUACCUGAAUGCUUUCCCUGCCCAUCCUGUCCCCUCCACUUUGUCCUUCCUACUGUCCCCUAAUCUACGUUUCAUCGUUUUGUCUCUGUGCCAGCGUCUGCUUCUAGGGCCAUCUACUCUCGCUCCCCAUUGAGUGCACACAGUGGGGUUCCUGUACACACAGGUAACAAAGUGCCAGAAAUGGUGGUGAGGGAGGAUAGAAGCAAGAUCACCCUUUGUGCGGGGGAGCCUGAGGGAGUUUUCCGGGGCGAUGGGAACUACCUAUAUCUAGAUUGAUGGGGUGCUUAUGCUCAAUUAUUUUGGAAAUAUUCCCUGACUCCAUGGUGCCUUGGGGUCAGACAGGUAUCUGUCCUUAGGAAAUGGCUGAGUUCUAAUGGUAGAGAAGGAUGAGGGACCAGCAGUGACUGUGGUAGAGGAGUAAGGGUCAGACCCACGCCCAGGAUGCCAGGUCUCCACAGACAGCACCAAGUGUAGGAGGAUUCUGAGGAGCAGAUAUUUCUUGAUCAGACCCAUGGACUACAUAAUCCUCCUGUAGUUUCCUCACUGAGCGAUGGCUAGAGCCGAGGCCAGCAGCUGGAGGACCUGAUCAUGGCUGGAGUGGAGCAGUGGGCCUGGGGGAUUGAGUCAGGGAAAGGGCCAGGCAGAAGGUAGUGACAGGGAGUUUGAGAGACAAACGGAAGAGAAGAGAAGGGACCCUUCUCUGCUGACUUCACCUACAUUUCUGUGUGACCAAAACGAGACCCUUGUCUCCCACGGAAGGGAAGAGGGCUGGCAAAACACCGAGUGACAUACUCAGCUCAAGUGCCCAGGGUAUCUGCCUUGCUCUUGAGUACCUAACACAGGAAGCACGUGCUUUCUGUUACGAUUGGAACUGCAGCUCGUACCAUUCAGUGAAAAUCAAUCCAAUUAUGCAUCCCUCAGCAUUAAAGUACUCCAACAAAAUUAAGUGAACAGACUGAAAGAUACAAGGCAGGAUAAAGUCCGAAGGUAGAGCGACGGCAAUACUUACGGGAAUACAGUCUAUCCGAAAAGGAGGUAGGUACCCUAGUGCAGGCCUCAGCCACCUGGGCAAUAUCUGAAAACGUAAAAAAAAAAAAAAAGUCCUUACUCCAAAAGCAACAUUAGCUCUAGACACAAAGGGAUCAUGAUUAAGGUUUAGAGAGCAACCAUAGGACUUCAUGGUGCUGUAUCCAUGAGAUCAAGUUUCAUCAAAUUAUACCCUUUAAGUUGAGGCUCUUUGUUAUAUGUAAAUUAUACCUCAUUAAAGAGAGUUUCAAAACAUAAAA